UACGGAAGGCAGCAGUGGGGAAUAUUGCACAAUGGGCGCAAGCCUGAUGCAGCCAUGCCGCGUGUAUGAAAAAGGCCUUCGGGUUGUAAAGUACUUUCAGUCGUGAGGAAGGUGUUAAGGUUAAUAACCUUAGCAAUUGACGUUAGCGACAGAAGAAGCACCGGCUAACUCCGUGCCAGCAGCCGCGGUAAUACGGAGGGUGCGAGCGUUAAUCGGAAUUACUGGGCGUAAAGGGCACGCAGGCGGUUAAUUAAGUUGGAUGUGAAAUCCCCGGGCUUAACCUGGGAAUGGCAUUCAAGACUGGUUAGCUAGAGUCUUGUAGAGGGGGUAGAAUUCCAUGUGUAGCGGUGAAAUGCGUAGAGAUGUGGAGGAAUACCGGUGGCGAAGGCGGCCCCUGGACAAAGGCUGACGCUCAUGUGCGAAAGCGUGGGGAGCAACAGGGAUUAGAUACC
rnacentral:rRNA from 1 species